AGCCUCCUGGUGCUUACCACAGACUGUGUUCUUACACUGACUGUACAGAAAGAGGAGGCAGAGUAAAUCCACCCAUGUACACCCCGGCCCAAGUGCUUUGCCUGGUCUGGAUUGUGAAUGGGGGGACAUGG
ensembl:snoRNA